CUCAGAACGAACGCUGGCGGGCGUUUAACAUGCAAGUCGAACGAGAACUCCGAUGCUUGCAUUGGAGGGAGAGUGGCGAACGGGUGAGUAACACGUGGAUUAUCUGCCUUCAGGUUGGGGAUAACCACCCGAAAGGGUGGCUAAUACCGAAUAAUAUGGCAACAUUAAAGGUGGGGACUUUCGAGCCUAUCGCCUGAAGAUGAGUCCGCGGCCCAUUAGCUCGUUGGUAGGGUAAUGGCCUACCAAGGCUACGAUGGGUAGCCGGCCUGAGAGGGUGACCGGCCACAUUGGGACUGAGACACGGCCCAGACUCCUACGGGAGGCAGCAGUUAAGAAUCUUGCGCAAUGGGCGAAAGCCUGACGCAGCGACGCCGCGUGGACGAUGAAGGCCUUCGGGAUGUAAAGUCCAGUAAGCAGGGAAGAAUAAGUAGAAACUAAUAUUUUCUACGAUGACGGUACCUGCCUAAAGCCCCGGCUAACUACGUGCCAGCAACCGCGGUAAUACGUAUGGGGCAAGCGUUGUUCGGAAUUAUUGGGCAUAAAGGGCGUCUAGGCGGGGGAUUAAGUUGGGUGUGAAAGCCACAGGCUCAACCUGUGAAUUGCACCCAAAACUGAUUCUCUUGAGUCCGGGAGAGGAGAGCGGAAUUCCAGGUGUAGCGGUGAAAUGCGUAGAUCUCUGGAAGAACACCAGUGGCGAA
rnacentral:rRNA from 1 species